rnacentral:tRNA from 1 species
GGUAGGAAUGUAGCUAAGUGGUAGAGUGCUUACCUAAAAUAUGUAAGACCUUGGGUUCAAUCCCCAGUACCACCA